UAUCCAGCAGCUUCUGGUCGGUGUAGCCAUUAAAAAAAUAGCACCAAAAGAAUCCCCGCCGAGAGUUAUCUCCUGCGUGGACCUCAUCACGAGAGCACCCAUAGGAGCGUCAGCUCCUCUUAUCCGCCCCUACCCACCUCCCACGCGCGAUGUGCUGCAGCCACACACACACAUGCGCCCGUGGUGUGCUCCAGCCAUAGCCCCGUCGUCCUCCACAACCAACCAACACUCCUUCCUCCCGCCCUGAUGAUCCUCGGUGCCAGGAGAGGACGCCGGAGCUGGCGAGGGGCGGGGUCGGACCGGCCUCCUCUCCAAUCGCGGGCCCGGCCGGGCCCUGCCUUGUCGUCGCUUUGCUUGGGGCCUAGCUCGGUGGAGAACGGCGGCGCAACCAUGGCGCCACCCAUGAGAACCCAAACGCCUUGCAAGGUCCAUCUGCCGCUCGCCUGGAUCUGGACGCCGCCGUUGUUCCGCGCGUCCAGCCCAUCUGCCACCGCCCUGUGCAGAUCUCACUCGAUCAGAUCGAGCGGGAGAGCCGCCUGCCGUCGUACACGCUCGUUGACCCACCUCGAUCCAUAGAUAGGGGUGGGCCCGCUGGCGACGCGCGGCGGCGGCCUGCGGCGCACGGUGAGGCGGGACUGGCCAUGGCAGGAGGUGGCGGCGGGCUGGAGGUGGGAUCGGGAGGCAGACAUGGUUGAGGAGGACGGGUUGUGGCUGUUUUUUUCCUUUUCUCUCGCACGUACCGGCUUGUGUUUGUGACUUAUUAUGACGACUGCGUUUUAAUUUCAUAUAAACAGAGGGGCUUUUAUGAAAAA